CAGCAGCCACGGUAAUACGUAGGGUGCGAGCGUUAAUCGGAAUUACUGGGCGUAAAGCGUGCGCAGGCGGUUGUGUAAGACAGGUGUGAAAUCCCCGGGCUUAACCUGGGAGCUGCGCUUGUGACUGCACAGCUAGAGUAUGGCAGAGGGGGGUGGAAUUCCACGUGUAGCAGUGAAAUGCGUAGAGAUGUGGAGGAACACCGAUGGCGAAGGCAGCCCCCUGGGCCAAUACUGACGCUCAUGCACGAAAGCGUGGGGAGCAAACAGGAUUAGAUACCCCUGUAGUCCCUGUCUCUUAUAC
rnacentral:rRNA from 1 species